AAAAAAAGACAACAGCCCAAACAUCUGGAAGCUUCUGCAGGAAAAAAGAAGAAAGAAGAAUCAAGGGUUACCAAGAGAUGAUGUUUCACAAGAAAAUCGAGUAAUUAUAUUUAUAUCCAUUCUACUUGUCAGUUAAUCAAAACAUAGUGAUGUUUGGAACGAAAUCGGAAACAAAAUCCGGAUCAACAAAAUCAAAAGAGACACCGUAAACAGGACCAGAUGAACCCACUGAGGUUGUCCAGACCACACCGGAUCCUAACGGACCAACCAUUAUCGCAUUCCUAG